rnacentral:rRNA from 1 species
UACGUAGGUGGCAAGCGUUGUCCGGAAUUAUUGGGCGUAAAGCGCGCGCAGGCGGUCUCUUAAGUCUGAUGUGAAAGCCCACGGCUCAACCGUGGAGGGUCAUUGGAAACUGGGGAACUUGAGUGCAGAAGAGAAAAGCGGAAUUCCACGUGUAGCGGUGAAAUGCGUAGAGAUGUGGAGGAACACCAGUGGCGAAGGCGGCUCACUGGCCCGGUACUGACGCUGAGGUGCGAAAGCGUGGGGAGCAAACAGG